AGAGAUCCUUAGGUCCAGGGUACCCCUCCAGCCAGGAUGAAGCUCUUCAUCACACUUCCUGUCUUGAUUGUGGUUGUAACCAUGGCUUUGGAAGGCCCAGUGUCCGCCCAGGUGGCCCCUGAUUUAUCCAGCACAUUGGAGAGCUUACCAGAUAAACUGAAGGAGUUUGGGAACACUUUGGAAGACAAGGUCCGGGCAGCCAUUAAACAUAUCAAACAGAAGGAAAUUAUGACCAAGACCUGGACCUGGUUUUCAGAGACAUUCAGCAAAGUGAAGGAAAAAUUUAAAACCACGUUUGCCUGAGUGCAUGGCAGGCCACCUCGCAGCAGUAAGGUCAUCCACAUGAAGUGCCAGGUGAUGACACACCAAU